rnacentral:tRNA from 1 species
GGAGUUGUGGCUCAGAGGUAGAGCACUCACCUAGCAUGUGCAAGGACCUGGGUUUGAUCCUCAGCACCA